rnacentral:rRNA from 1 species
UACGGAGGGUGCGAGCGUUGUCCGGAAUCAUUGGGCGUAAAGGGCGCGUAGGCGGCUUCUCAAGCGUGCGGUGAAAGUCAGGGGCUCAACCCCUGAUCGGCCGUGCGAACUGGGGGGCUGGAGCACUGUAGAGGCAGGCGGAAUUCCGGGUGUAGCGGUGGAAUGCGUAGAGAUCCGGAAGAACACCGGUGGCGAAGGCGGCCUGCUGGGCAGUGGCUGACGCUGAGGAGCGAAAGCAUGGGGAGCGAACAGG